AUUUCUGCUGUCCGCCAUUACCUCGUUUCGCAAGCAAAAGACCAUCUCCAUGUGCGAGUCUGCGAGAAAACUCAAUUAAACAAGGUGCCCUCUUUCUGGAAUCAUUAACUGCUUCAGAAUUUGUCCAAAGCCCCAGAGGAUGCCUUGCCAGCAAAAAAAAGUAAAGAGACCAAAGAGAGGAGAAGCUAACCAUAUACCCGACAUUCCAACUGGAGAGACUCAAGAAAAACUGGAAAAUGAGAGACACUCACUUUUAAUAGAAGUAAAGAAACGAGACAAUCGUGCAGUGGUAAAGGACAAAAUGGCCAAAGCCUUUUCACUGCAAAGACAAGAAAUUGUGGAAAAGGAAUUGGGUGUUGAAGAGUUUGCCUGCAUUGUUCACAGAG